UAACCGCAAGGGGGGCGCGGCCGAAGGUGGGUUCGAUAAUUGGGGUGAAGUCGUAACAAGGUAGCCGUAUCGGAAGGUGCGGCUGGAUCACCUCCUUUCUAAGGAGA
rnacentral:rRNA from 1 species